GAAUAUAAUGAGUAUUUUUCGUAGAAUGAUAGGAUAUGAAAAAAUGCUCUUUUUUCCCAAUAAAGUGAAUAUUUUAUAUCCAGUCCAUGUGCAAAUUUCCCUGAUUCUAAAAAAGCAGAUGUCUUUUCACAGUUUAUUGAAAGAAUGUACUCAUACGAUGCACUUGGUUUUUCUCUUUUAAGACAAAAUAACUGUUCCUCUCCCAAUUUUAAUGCCAUUUGUUUGUUCAGAAACUGGGCAGAAGCAGGGUGGUUUGUCUUACAGAAUGUCCCACUAUUGGGUUUAGAGCAGGAGUCCACAAUACCAGCACAGUGGGUCAGGACCAGUACCAGUCCUUGGUCUACUGAUAAGAUUGGAACCAGACUUGAGGGGCAAAGGGAAAGAAACUUCCACUCUGGUGCUUGCGACAUCUGACAGUUACCCAGCAGUGGAUGCAAUUGAGUUUUCUCUCAUCUUUCCCUUCCUGGAAGUCUCCUAGCCUGGUAAACAGAGUCCCUGGGUCCCCCGUGUUGACUAACUUACCUGCAUCUAAGGUGAGUCAUACACUCCAGGGUUUAGUUUCCAAUCUCUUGGAUGAGGGAGACAAUACUUGCUCCAGAAGACUUGUUCCAGACUGAGGCUCAAUGCCAAUCAGUAGACAAGCAACUCAGACGUGUGUUUUGCUGAGGAUGCUGAGGUUGCCUCUGGUGGGCAGGGGGAUGUAACUGCCUGGUAAUGUUCAUGGGUCCUGGGCUAGGAAUGGGAGUGGUAGACCACUGCACACAGCUGCUGUGACACUGAGGACCUUACAGGCCUUGAGCACUGGAACUUACCAUCAUUUGGGUUUUGUGGGAUGAGAUCAGGUAGUUAUAAGUCAGAAGUUACCAAUGGGGAAGCUUGUAGAUUCCUCACCAGAAACCCAAAUUAGGCUGAUGAACCAUCUCUAAAACAAACAAACAAACAAACAAAAAACCCUCUGUGAACUAGAUAUGCCAGGACUCUUGGACAAAUUUGGUUAUAUUUUAAAUAUCAUUUAAAGUAGGUCAUCUUUUAGAUGAUCUGCCAUUUUUUCUCUGGCUUGGGAUGAUACCCACACUUAGAGUGGAAUCCAAGGGCCUCUAGGGGAGGCUGUCACUCUCCCUGUGACUCAUUAGCUGUGAGGAUAGCUCUCUCCCCUUCAUUGUGGAGCAGGAAUUCCAGCAUGAAGGACGUGACCUUCAAAUUUAACUGGAAAACUUAAGAAGGUCUGGGACUCAGGUAGGUACUAUUCCUUUCCCAGUGCUUCUUCCUUCCCUCCUGGGUUCUGUGCAAGCUGCCCACCUUCUGGUUAUUGGGUUCUGAAUUCCUCCUCCCUUCUUCUGCAAAUAUCCAUGCAGUUCCAUUUGUGGCUUCCUCCCUACCAAGGCCCAAUCCCUCACCUGCAGAUUGCACUAAAGAAGGGAAAACC
rnacentral:lncRNA from 1 species